rnacentral:lncRNA from 1 species
UUGACAUUGGCCUCGCCGGCGAUUGCCGGAGCGAUCCCCGACACCCUCUGCCGAACCUAAAAGGGGUGCCACACACCCCCGGUGUCUAAGCCCCGGGCUACGACAAUGUUCGAGGAACGCUCACGGCGGCGCGCGCAGCUGCUUGCCGGCGCCGAAGGGAGCGACGGCCAGCUGCUGCUCACGGCUGAUCAGUGGGCGGCCACGACCACGAGGACGAUGGCGGGAGCAGCGUGCACUCAGGCGCGAAGGGACGGCACGGCAAGUGCUUCAAUUGUGGCGUUCGCGGCCAUUUCUCCCGUGACUGCCGACGUCGACGACGAGCCGGCCUUUCUGUAGGUUGUGGCUUAGGGGGAGAUUGUUAGGAAUAAGCCACGCGCGUGUGCGUGUCUAGGUCAGGUUUAGUCCGAUGCUGGUGCUGCCGCGUCCGUGGUCAGGUUUUGUGUAGUCAGUUUGUGGCCGGGUCUUCGUUCGUGCGGCAACGGAGAUUGCUGCGUGCGCAAGCUUGGAGUUCGGAGGGCGACCGGGUCUCACGGAUGAGUAGUGCGGGGCUCACAACGAGGUAGACCGGAUCGCCAGGCGUUCGUGCGCGGACUGCUAGCUGAGUUUGUUGCGUGGGCACUGCGUUGCCACAGCUAUAAAGCUGGCUGUAACCGAAGUUUGUUGUGGUUUUUUUUUCUUUUUCUUUUUUUUUCCAAAUGGUCAAAAGCUCAGAGCACUUGAUGUAAGAAAUUCCGAAUGAAUACAUUAAUUUUAAUCCUCGAAUCAAGUUUAAGUGCACAGAUAAUUGAAUCACGCAUGAAUUUUCAAAUAAGGAUUACAUCGGAUGGUAGCAAGAAAUAAAAGAAAGGUUUUUUACUUCUGUGCCCUCGGUUCCUUUGUUCUACUAGAUCAGUUCUGCCCAGGCCUUAAAACGCUGCUCGCUUCUACCCUCCUCUGUUGCGCAAAUGCUCGCUUUUGCCAUCACGGAGCACCUCCUCCCGGUCAACUCGGUCAAGCCAUUUGCUGCUGACGGGUGGGACCGGGUAUAAGCCUGACGGCUGGGACCAAUGCGUGCUCUGACGGUGCGCCGGUCCGGGCUUCGGCGAGCUUGACUCUGGCCACCGCGACGACGGCCGCUGCGGUGUGGGGAUCAGCACGAGCACGAGGACAAGGACCGGGACAGGGACGCUAGGACGCGUCGCUAGGAUGCUCUCGGUCGGCGCGACGGAUGCUAGGAUGCGCCGCUGCCACACGCUCAUGCCGCGCCAUACCCUCUGCGGCGUGACGUGGUCGAGGUCCUGGCCAUUGAUCCGCCUCCAUGGGCUCGCAGGCGAGACUCACGAAAGAAGCACCGGCAUUGACCAAGGGAAGCAUCGGCGACGCCGCCGCAGAAUGUGCCCAUCUACGGCGCGGACACAGCACAACACAACCAUCGAAGAAAGAACCUAGUUCAUAUAUUCCAACAAGGGCUUACAUAGCGUAACGACAUUAAUUUUGAAAAAAAAAUGCUGAUCGAUCGCUCACUCCUCGGCUUCGUCUUCAGAUUCCUCCACAGGCGGCGCAGGCCCCUAGACAGCCACCUCCACAGGCGCCUCCGCCUCCUCCAUGUACGCGAGGCCGUGCAUCUCGCCGGCGUGGGAGGACGUGGUCGUAGUGUUGGUGUACACGUUGUACAACGUGAAUGCGAUCAACUCGCAUCCACACCAGGACACGCGGCCAAGGAGAUAAUCGGCGUCAUGGCUGUUGGUGAGGUGCACCAGGAGGGCGGUUUUGACACCGUGCUCGCGGAGCUACUCCAGGCGGUACAUUGGAGGGCCACCGGCCUCCAGGUGACUGAAGCCGGUGUUGAGGAAGUUCCUGGCCAGCGCGAUCGAUCUCCGGCUGCGCGACAUCGCCCACACCUGGAGCGUCUGCUCCACACGCACGCUAGGUGGGAACAACGCCUCGUCAGUGAGGGGUGGCGGGUUGAAGGUGAGGCCUUCGAACGCCAUUGCUUGUCGUCAGUGGGGGCGUUGGGUGGCGGGUUGAAGAAGUGGAGUGGAGAGCUGUGUAGAAGAAGGAGAAGAAUGGAGAGCUACAUAGAAGAAGCAGAGCCAUGGCGCUGGGUUAAAUAGCAAUGGUGACAGGGGAAGGGGAGAGGUUUCCAGCGAUCGGUGGGCUUUGAAUGCGGUCGCCGGCAUAGUUUAAAAUGCAUGGGAAACUGAAGUACGUGGGAAGUUGGAGGAAACUGGCGUCAAUAGCAGGCGUGCGCGGCCCAGUGAGAGCAAUCCCAGCACGUUUCCCACUCACUCUCAAUAACUGUGAGAUCGUCCUGUCGGAUUCCUCUCCCCACUACUCUCUCGGUCCCGUCCCCACUAGUACUUAUGUGCGUGCCCAGUAAACCAAUUCUCUUGUCUCCUCUGAUCUCAUCUACAUUCUUCCUCUCGCUCUCUCUCGAGCUCUACCGCUUCUCUUCGCCAUGGCCAAGGACAAGGAGCUAGUAGACGGUACUGAGAGCUCGGCUGGCGACGGCCAUGGGCGUGAGCUGGACACCACUCCGCCAUCUGCCACCCGCCGACAUGCGCCGGCGGAAUUGUCCCAUGCAUUGAGCAUGGACGCCGCCGCUCGUCGUAGCCGCUCAUCACCACCAAAGCGUGCCCGCAUCGAGGAGGAUGUCCCGUGCUCGUCUUGCGGCCGACUCCCCCUCAACGACGAUGACGACGACGACGACGACGAUGACGAUGAGGAGGAGGAGGAGGAGGCCGAGUGCGAGAUCAAUCAGCGCCACGCCGAGCUCCUGCACACGUACCAGCAGCGUGUGCGGGAAGCCAACUGGCAGCACAUAGCUGCCGCGAAGGUGGCUUUCGUGGCGGAAUAUUUCGCCAACGAGUGCGGUCGGGAGGCGGCGGAGGCGAGGGACCGGUACGAGUUUCAGCUCGUGACUCUAAACUCGGAGAGAAGCAUCCUUCUUGAGGAGCGGGGGAGGAAGAACGUCCGGGAAAUCCGGGCGGAGCGCGACGCCCUCUUCGCCUUCCAUGAGGAGCGCGGCCUCAACGAUGGCGACGGUGACGACGCUGCAUAAUGGAGCUCGUGCCUCAGGUUCGUUAUUUAUCUCUAGCUACAUAUGUAUAUGUUGCUACGUAUCUCUAUUUUUAUUCCUAUUUUGUAAUCGAUCUUGCGUACCCAUCGAUAUAUAUAUAUAUAUAUAUAUAUAUGGAAUGUUAUCCGUUUUUCUCUUAUAUAUAUAUGGGUAUGGUAACGGCAUAAGGUUGUACAUUUUCGGCACCGUGACUUUGUUGGGAUGCUUAUUUUGAAUGAAACAACGUUGGUUGACCUCCCUGGGUAAAGUAAGGCCAGUCACAAAUUGAUUUGGUCUGAAUUUUUUUUUGGUGACAGGUAUUGACAAAUAAAGAGCCCAUGCAGGUUUUCAGAUUUUUCCGAAGAAAAUUUCCUAUUAUUAUAUUUUUUUUCCAAUUGGCAGAAUAUGCAAAGACAGUAGUUUAGGUGCAAAAAGGAUUCAAAUGCGUUUGGAUCCGGUGCAUUCCAAGUUUUUUGGAAUGCCAUGGCACAACCAUGACUUUGUUAUAUUGGUUCCACAUCGAUUUGUGUGAAGUUUCAUUGAAUUUUGAAUUAUGAGCCGAAAAGGCUGGAUUUUCAAAGAAUGCACGAAAUAUCGUUCCUGAACUCUAGAAAAUCUGAAAUUUGGAGAGAACAUCAAGGAUGAACACUAAACGCUAUGAAACUCUUCUUGGACGAAAAUUGUGAAUCUAAGUAGGGAUUGAGGUAACAGUUCCCCAGAUUUGUUUGAAUUUGAAAUUCAAAAAAUAGGUAAACAAUUCAGAUUUGAACAAGCUUUGGGAUAAUGACAUUAAUAGGCAUAUGUGACUAGUGUGCAAAGUUUGAGUUCAUUUGGAGAAAGUGUUGUGAUUCAAUUCCAAAAUUUACAUCAAACUUCCAACAUCUCCCUUAGAGAUUCUAAAACAUCCCAGAGAGAUGUGCUACUUUCAACAUCAUGCAUGUGAUCACAAAUUGAUUUUGGUCUGAUUUUUUUUUGGUGGCAGGUAUUGACAAAUAAAGAGCCCAUGCAGGUUUUCAGAUUUUUCCAGAUAAAAUUUCCUAUUAUUAUUUUUUUUUCAUAUUGGCAGAAUACGCUAAAACAAUAGUUUAGGUGCAAAAAGGAUUCAAAUGCGUUUGGACCCGGUGCAUUCCAAGUUUUUUGGAAUGCCAUGGCACAACCAUGACUUUGUUAUAUUGGUUCCACAUCGAUUUGUGAGAAGUUUCAUUGAAUUUUUAAUUAUGAGCCGAAAAGGUUGGAAAUUCAAAGAUUGUACGAAAUAUCGUUCCUGAACUCCAAAAAAUCUGAAAUUUGGAGAGAACAUCAAGGAUGAACACUAAACGCUAUGAAAAUCUUCUGGGAUGAAACUUGUGAAUCUAAGUUGUGAUUGAGGUAACAGUUCCGCUGAUUUGUUUGAAUUUGAAAUUCAAAAAAUAGGUAAACAAUUCAGAUUUGAACAAGCUUUGAGACAAUGACAUUAAUAUGCAUAUGUGACUAGUGUGCAAAGUUUGAGUUCAUUUGGAGAAAAUGUUGUGAUUUAAUUCCAAAAUUUACAUCAAACUGGCCAAAUAGUGGCUCUGGUCAACAAAAAUCAACUUUCUCAAAACAAUUUGAAAUUUCGUCAUCUUGCAUAACUUUCCAUUCGGAUUGCAUCUGUGCUAUCAAAAAUCAAUUUGGAGGAAGUUCAAUUUCCAAGUUUCCUACAAAAUUAUCCAUUCCAGUGGGCUCAAAGGGCAAAAAGUGGUUCUUUCUUCCCCCCUUGGAACAAAAGUCAACUUUCUCAAAACAAGUUGAAAUUUUGAUUAACCAGAACACAACAUCUACAACAGAACACAACAUCAACAUUGAUUAACCCUUGGUGAACAAAAGUCCACUUUCUAAAAACAAAUCAAAAUUCAUAGGAACUAAAUAAGUGACAAUAACAAUACAUUCCCAUGUUUUUGCCAGGGCUAACAUUCUUCAUCCCGAAGCAGCUCAUCUUCCUGGCCGCUCUUUGUGCCGUCCAUCGCGACACCAUCGCUUCUCAACUCGGCCGCUAAACCUUGCCGCCACGACCUUGUAGACAUGCCGAAGCUAUAUCCGCAAGCCGCGCAUCCUCUCGUGCUAGAUAUAUAUAUUCUGGCCGGAACGCGAACGGCGUUCGCGCCGUCCAGAGCACACUCGCGCGCCGCUGCUUUGCGCCGUCAUGGCCAGCGUCCUCCACGAGCCUCGCCACCUUGCCCUAGAGACCCGCAUCGGCUCGAGAAUCCUUCCUGCAGAAGUAAUCGACCCGAGGUGCCUCCAACCGUUGCGUCACCAUCUUCUUCCUCAGCUCCUACCGUUUGCUGCCGCGGAGCAGAUCUCCUUCUCCGGCAACCUCUGGACUCCACCACUGCCUCCCUCAGCUCAACCCGAUCACUCUGAACCUUCCGGUGAUUCUCAUAGAGCCUCGCGUGGUCCGAGUCAUCCCCGCGUCGCUGCUCUUCUCUGCCUGCCACCCGCCGGUGUCGAGGUGCUCGCGCAGUGCUCCUCCACCCCUUCCAAUGCCUCCGUCAGAUUCGUGAUGACCUACUCAUUCUUUUGCCCCUCUUUCCUGCCUCUCCCGUGCUCUGUAUCGCCCCGCCUACAAGCGUCACCAAUGAGAAGCUCUAGCGCCGCAGACCGCACGAGCCUGCGGCCAGCAAGAUUUCACCAAUGAGAAGCUCCAACGCUACCUCAGGGUGCAGCGGCCUUACGCCUGCUAGACACCCCACCCCCUGCCUGGCCUGUGUCGCGCAGGAGAGCAACUCAGGCGAUGGCAAAGCAUCGGCGAGGCAGGGGCCAGAAGCCGCCUGAUUUUUCCUUCCGACGGUGGACCCACUUGCAAAUUAAUCAUUUCUUCUACGGUCAAAGAGAUCAUUUUCCUGUUGCUUCAGCCCCACAUCUCAGUAGCUAGGUUGGCCCCACUCGGUAGGAUUUAACCUGGCCCCACCCGUCAGGAGGUAACAGUCAAAGGACUGGACCGUUAACAGGUCCGCCGCGAGGACAUUUGCGAGCAUUUGCCAAAGAACGAAGUGUAAAAGCGAGCAACAUUUUAAGCCUUGGACAAAACUCAGUAGAACUAAGCAACGGAGGGCACGGAAAUAAAAAACCCAUAAAAGAAAGCCGAUGAAUUUGGAGCAGUUGAUCUUUAAUUCUUCUUGGUAUGCUAUAUGUAUUUGGAGCAUUGGAAGUCAUCAGGGCAGUACUUCCCGCACUCGUUGAGGAUGAGGCGGACGCC